GAGGAUGUGACGAUCCUUUCCCCAAAUGAUCGACAAUGAAUAUUCUGUGCGAUUUUUUGUUGUUGUCUCUUAUCAGAUGACAUCCAAGCCAGAAAUCUGAUCCUU
rnacentral:snoRNA from 1 species